GAUGAACGCUGGCGGCGUGCCUAAUACAUGCAAGUCGAGCGAACGGACGAGAAGCUUGCUUCUCUGAUGUUAGCGGCGGACGGGUGAGUAACACGUGGAUAACCUACCUAUAAGACUGGGAUAACUUCGGGAAACCGGAGCUAAUACCGGAUAAUAUUUUGAACCGCAUGGUUCAAAAGUGAAAGACGGUCUUGCUGUCACUUAUAGAUGGAUCCGCGCUGCAUUAGCUAGUUGGUAAGGUAACGGCUUACCAAGGCAACGAUGCAUAGCCGACCUGAGAGGGUGAUCGGCCACACUGGAACUGAGACACGGUCCAGACUCCUACGGGAGGCAGCAGUAGGGAAUCUUCCGCAAUGGGCGAAAGCCUGACGGAGCAACGCCGCGUGAGUGAUGAAGGUCUUCGAAUCGUAAAACUCUGUUAUUAGGGAAGAACAAAUGUGUAAGUAACUAUGCACGUCUUGACGGUACCUAAUCAGAAAGCCACGGCUAACUACGUG
rnacentral:rRNA from 1 species